UAACAAGGAUUUUUUUCCUAUUAGUUUUAUCAAUUACUAAAUUAAUUAGUUAAUUUUUAAUUAAGUUAUUUAUCCAUUAGAGGCUUUCUUGGAGUCUGGUGCCUUUAUGGCAUUAGCAUUCCUGGUGGAGGGAGGGAGAGAUAGAGAUAGAGAGAGAGAGAGAGAGAGAGAGAGGAGAACAAAUAACUUCAACACCUGCUCCACUACAUACGAGGUUUCCAGGACUUCACACACAGUACUGUGUGCACUGCACCAGGUGCUGUUAAUUUAAAUGAAGCAAUGAUUGUUUGCUUUAAAUGGACCCCAGAGCAAAAAUACCACGUGCAUGGAUUUUACCAGAUAGCUUGCUCUUGAAGGCUCUUAGUCAUGGAAGAAAAAGCAUCCCCAGCUUUGAAUGUGGAUGGUAUAAAGCAGAGUUGGAAUUCCAGCCCUAUUGAGAUAAACCAACAACAACAAAAAAGAACCUUUAGAUCCAGCAAUACCACUCUUAGGCAUUUUUCCAAAAAGACAUGAGAAUACUAAUUUGAAGAGACACAUGCACCUCUAUGGUCAUAGUUUUGGAAUCAUAUUCAUAAUGAUUCCAAAUCCAAGUUCAACACAUAGAAGAUAAAACAACAUUGGGAUGCUAUUGUGUCUAUUA